ACAUGCUCCUUGUGCCCACUCUUCCCUGCUCUGCAUUUCCUCCUUCAUGUGCCUGACAUUUCCUAAUGAAGAUGUUCAGCUUCAUUUCUCACCACCGGUGUUCGGGGCACAAGUCAGUUUCCACUGAUGCACUGGAUUCUGAAGGCCCCAACAGCAUGUGGCCACCAGGAUUUGGGCUCAGAGAGACAUUCUUGGAGGAGUGCCCCCGAGGACCCUUUCGAAACAGCUCUGGUCAUCGGUACCAGGCAUGAGGACAAAGAGAUAAACAUGGCCAGUUCCUGCUCUCCAAGAAUGUCAAGUCCUUUUACAAAGACCGACUCUCCAUGAGUGACUCACAUCGCAGAACACCGAGUUCAGGAGUGGAUGGGGACACGAAAGCAUGCAUCUGAAGAGGCUGCUUGAAAGACACAAUAACGGGCUUCUGCCUGUGUGUUAUCAUGAACUCUUUUCUGAGGAAGAGGCUGAUGACUCCAGCAUCCUCUGUAGUGAAGGGCUACAUGGAACUGUGAAUAAAGGAGAACCAGAGGUCAGUGAGCGGAGGGAAUUUUUGUCCAACGUGCACCUUGACAGAGCUUCACUGACCACGGGCUGUGUCUCCCUGCUGCCGCGCAGCGCACCUCUGACCACAGACCCCUCUCCGGAGCCGUGUGUUUGCUCCUCACCUGACAGGCUGUGUGAGAACCCAUCUGUGCUUCCCUGGGAUGUCUGACUGCAUGCACCCCCCGACUGUGCAUGGGAACCCUGCUGAGCCUUGGCUGCUCCUGCCCCUCUUCAGGUGAAGAACAUGCUGGCUUCAGGUUGUGACUCACCCCGAGCGGCUUGUGGAUUCCUUAUUCCCUGCUCAUAACGUGUAGCCCUUUAUUAAACAUCCCUAACACGUUCCAGAUAGUCUUCCUUCCAAGACCCCAAGGAACACACUCCAUGCAUGCUUUGUGUUUCAAAUCUCAGAAUCACUGUGUCAAGCAAGAGAAGCCACCCAGGAAAGAUAUGUGGGUGAAGUCAAGAACAGGCAGGAGCGACCGACUGUGAUGGAAGUCAGAACACUGGAGGUUCAGUUUUGGAUUGGAGUUAACUUGAGGAAACUUUCUG
rnacentral:lncRNA from 1 species